rnacentral:lncRNA from 1 species
CGACAGACCCGCGCCAGGACGACCCUGCCUCCGCGGCUGUCCCUAGCCAGGGCCCAACCUGGUUGUAUUAAUAACUAAGCAAACUAGAACACCUCAGCCGGAGGCUGGGGUGCGCGGCCGCUGCACCAGCAGCCUGAACCCGGGGGUCCUGACACGCCGCAUUUUGGGCUGGGACCAGCUGGAGCCGGAAGCGGAGGUGCAGUGUGGCUGGCCGGAGACCGGAAGCGGAAGCGCGCUUGUGUCUUCUGAGAAGAGCCGCGCUUGCAGCGUCUGGGAGAAUCUUUCGGUUUCUGCGAGAGGUGCUUCAUUCCACGAAAAAAGUAUAAUUCAAGCUCAGAUUUGUGUUGAAACCAGCCUCAAGGUUCACCUAUCCUCACUGAUCCAUGGACUUCUGUAUGAUCA